rnacentral:tRNA from 2 species
AGAGGAUUGCCAGAGUUGGUCUAAUGGACCGGUUUUGAAAACCGGCGAGGUGAAAGCCUCCGAGGGUUCGAAUCCCUUGUCCUCUGCCA